GGCUGCACCCACCUAUAAAAAGGUGGAGGCUCACCAGGACAUGCACACCUCACAAGUUCCUGGCUCUCUCGGCUCGGUUGAAGACGGGUUUCUUCGAGAAGGGGAGGGCAGUGAGGCACAGUCCCCCGCCCCCCGACGCCCCUCGCGAUGCCCCUCCUUCUUCGACUAACCCGCUGCAGAGGAGCCGUGAGAGCCAGGAACUUGUGAGUUUUGUAUGUCCACUCAGGCAUCAUUCAUACCUGGUCUGUAGGAAGUUCCUGUCAGAAGGAGGGGGGCACCGCGAGGGCGUCCAGGGGCGGAAGGCGGUGCCUUAGUGCCUCCCUCCUUCUGACAUUGUAAAAGAACCCUAACUGUAUUUUUUUUUUAAUAGUAAUAUAGAUGUAUAUGUGUGUUUUAUGUCCUCAGAUGAGGUUUGAAGUGUCUGUGUGGUGCAGCUGGCCUGGUCUGUCUCUAUACAGUCGAGGCUGCACCCACCUAUAAAAAGGUGGAGGCUCACCAGGACAUGCACACCUCACAAGUUCCUGGCUCUCUCGGCUCGGUUGAAGACGGGUUUCUUCGAGAAGGGGAGGGCAGUGAGGCACAGUCCCCCGCCCCCCGACGCCCCUCGCGAUGCCCCUCCUUCUUCGACUAACCCGCUGCAGAGGAGCUGUGAGAGCCAGGAACUUGUGAGUUUUGUAUGUCCACUCAGGCAUCAUUCAUACCUGGUCUGUAG
ensembl:lncRNA